CGAACGAAAAAUUCAGUGCACAGUCGGGUGUGAUCUUGAACACACGUAUCCUCUUGGUUGGUUGACACGUUGACUAUAGAACUGUGCUUAACUUGACACGUGUACAGUGCUACAUUUCUUGGCCGUAGAGGAAAAUCAGCGCGAUCAUGAGGCAACUCUAUGCAACCCACGUGGGCGCCGUCACGAGUCUUAUCCUGAUAGCUGGAUUGUGUUUCCUCUUCAUCAAAGGACCUCACAUCGAUGACACAUUUGCUGUUCGUAAGAUAGAAGACCCUAACGAAUCUUUCUCCUCAAGGCUGGUACGUGAUUUUCGGGGAACAACAGGUCACAGG